GCUCGGGGCCGGCGGUGCUCGGGGCCGGCGGUGCCGGGGCCGGCGGUGCCCGGGCCGGCCGCAGCUCAUCCCGCGGCCCCGCAGGGAUGGAGCAGCACCGGGGGAGCUGUGGGGGACUGCGGUUUAAUCGCCAUUGUCUCAGCUCCAUCAGGGAGGAGAUGGCAACACGCUUCCUCUUCCCAGUCUGGGAGCUGUAGGAGCCUUUCUGCGAGCAUUCGGCACAGACUGACCCGGGUGAAUUCACCCACCCGGCCAUGGGCUCCAUCCCGGCCUGGCACGGGAGAGCACAGCAAAACGCCUUGGCUUUGCUGGCACAUAAACCUGCACAUGGGAUCAUUUACUCCGCUCCAAAUCGAGAUUACGGUGGCCAGGCUGCUUGGCGGAGAUAAACUGAUAAACUGGCUGGUGGGGUUUCCCAUCUCUGUGCCCUAAUCUUACCUACUCAAACCUAUUUUUGCCAAGCAAGGGUUAUUUCACUAAGUGAAGGGACCAUGUCAAGCAUAUUCUGUAAGGUGAACGUGGUGUUGCCUUGUGCAGUACAAAUCAGGGCAUGAAUUAGGAGAAUAUUAUUAUUAUUAGAAUUCUAUUUAUGCUAUUCUUCUAAUCUAAUAUCUUGUUUACAGUGGGAGUUUGAACAGUUCCAGCCCUCAACAAAAGCGAUUAGUAGAGGCACACCAAGGCAAACCACAGGUUUAGACAAAUAAACCAUACUCAAUGUCAACACCUUUCAUGGUAGUUCUGAGGCAGAAAGGAUCUGCUGGCAGCUGUGCCAUGGUUUGUAAGUCUUUCCAAGCUAAGCAUGUCUCCUCUGCCAGGUAACCACCUCCAGCACAGGAAGUGUGAGUGUCACAGCUUGGCUGCAUGUCAGGCUCAGUCUGACUGUUGAUGGCUCUCCGUCCCCUUCACCAGCUGUUCCCUGGUGCCAGCAGUGAGCAAAGGAUGAGGUGGAAACAGUUUUGUGUACUGCUGUGGCAAGACUUGUCCCUCAGUUUCUGUAGUUCCAUUACAGAAUAAGCUCUUCCAAUACAAAUUGCAGAUUUUGUUCUCCAACAGGGGCUCGUUUCCUGAUAGGACAGGUGAGGCUGGGCCAGAAGACUUCUGUAAAGAGCUGCUCAGCUUUUUUGAAAAAGGAGGGCAGAGCUUGAUGCUGGAAAGGAGAGCUCCUGAAAUGCAGAGCCAAGUUCCCUGAGAAAUACUCCCAUUCAUCUCAGUGAGCUAUCACUGUUAAUAUGUUGGUAUAAUCAGUCAUCCAAUUUAGCAGUAUCGCUGGUAAUAAAGUUUCCUAUUGCCUAUGUUAUCUGUUAAUCCAAAAGGAGCAAAGUUUGAGGACACUGCUGAAGAGCCCAGACCUGCACACAGCUGCAUUUCAGCAGCUGAAGUGCCAGCAGUAUCCCAAUAUCCUGCCUUCAUACUGAGAAAUGUUCUGGAACGUGUGAUUUGUACACCAUGACUGGAAGGCUGGCUGCUUUGUGGUUCUGGCAAAAAGCUGGGCUGACUCCUGUAAAAUGAGGUACACACAGAGGUGUUAUCUUGUCUCCAUCUCCUCUCAUUCCCUCUGCUCCUCUUUGACUCUUUCUUCUGCCUUCUCCCAAGCCACUGUCAUUUUCAUUUCCUUCCCUGCUGCCUUGGACAUUUGAUCCUAGACUCUACUUGCAGAUGUGUCACAGAGUUUUUCUCCUCACAGUUUUCAAAGCCUGUUUUUCCACCUUUGUUCUGUGGACACAGAUCUCAAACCAGUGUAACUUCCUGUUGCUAGAGCAUCAAAGAUACACAAAUACAAGAUACAGUAAAAAAAAAAAAAAAACUGUUCAGACUUGUUUACUUUGAAUAAAAAUAACAUUCAUAUCAUGAAGCUUGACUGAGUGGAACCAGGUUAAGGAUGCUCCAACCAUCAUGACAGUGGUGAUGAAACAGAGAUUUUUUUACUAGAAGUCAGUGUCUAUUAAGGAGAACACUAAAUUACUCAGCACAGGUAUUGUUAAAGCAGUCCUGACCAAUAACAUAUUUUUAAUACCAGUGACUCAGAACUCAUCUCUGUAAUUGUUUUUGAUGAUAAAAUGAUUCAGCAUGCCCUAAAAACAUGGCAAUAAAAGAAACCCCUUAUUACAGACCAAGGAACCAUUAAGUCUAAAUCCUAAAAAUUGGCAUUCAGCAUACAAGAUUAAGGAAGCAAAAACCUUGUUAGUUUGGUUACUCUUAUUUACAAAAUAAGAGAAAACAGAACCUUCAAAUACCUUAAGUAGUUUUGAUUAAAAACAUUCUUAAGACGAGAAAUAUGUCAUUGUGCACUCAGCCAGAAAUGCAUUUUAAUAAAUGAGUCAGGGUUACAAGAAGGAUGAAAAACUUUUCUUACUGAUUGCAUCCUUUCUGUGGGGCCCAGUCAUGUAGUGUCACUGGAAGGAGGAACAUGCUGAAGAUGAACAGCCAAGGGCUGAUUAAUAAGACAUUUAACCUAUUAUUUUUUUCAUGGGACGAAGAGCCUGUAGUUCUGUAAGGUAUCUGUAAAAUGAGUGUCCAAAAUGAACCAGGCAAUCCCAGUCUGAUACCCAACAGACACCAAUUUGGUACCUCAUAGGUGUUUGCAUAGCAAAUCUGUUACUAAUUACAAUUCUUGACACUCAGGAGUACAUGGGCUGUGUUGUUUGCCCUUAUUAAUUUUAGGCCAGAUUGUACCCAUGUACAAUCUCCUGCCCGCCCUUCACAAGCACUCUCUACUUGUCUAGAGGUGGAAGGGUUUGUACUCCUGGACUAUUGAUGAGCAUUAAACUGUCACAUAAAGACAUAAUGAAUUCUGAGAGAGACAUUAAAUAUCUGUAUAGAAUUAUGCAAAGAAGGAUGCAGAGGUAGGGUCUGUAGUUUUCUCUGCAUUGCAAAAUUGUCCCAGGUUUUACAAAUCCAUCAAAUGAGUAGGCAGGCUCUGAAAGCUUCCUUUUCCCCACCCAAGAUGAAAAAUGUAAUUGCCACUGGGAUGCCAGAGGUGAAUGAGAUUCUGUCAGGAGGUUAUAUUGAUAAAAGUAAACAUCCUGCACAAAAGCUGAGUUUCUUUUGGCCUCUUGAUGAGCUCUUAUUACAAGCCUGCACAAUAGCCAGUCCCCUGAUUUGUUAAACAGAUAACAGAGAAGCAGUUCCUCAGUUGCCAAAAUGGAUGUAUUAGUGACAAGACACGGCUCAUGCUCCCAGCUACUCACUUUUGGCAAUGGUGAUGGAGCGGCUUCAGAGGCAGGAGAGCAGGACACCAUGGCUCAGGAGGCAAUUAAAUGUGCUGGGGAGGGAGCAGAGCAGCACAGCCCUAGUGAGGCACAGGAAAUGGGCUUGGCAGGUAAAACUCCACUCCCACUCUACACUGGGGAGUAAAUCAAGCAUUUGCGGUAAAUAAGGGGGAGAAAAGUACCCUUCUGCUUUAUUUUGACUUCAUAAUAAACAAAAUAUGAGGAUUUAGCCUUCCUGUCUUAGGAGUGUGCAUGAUAAUGGAGGAAGGUGGUGGUUUCAUUAAGGUUUGAUUUAGAAGCUUUAGUGGUAAAGCUCUUUCCUUUUCUUGAAUUUAGAGAAACAGGGUUUGGGCUUUGUUAGCAUGUUCAAGGACAUGUGGCAGCAGAACUACCCUGUGAAAAGUUUAUGCUUUGUGUCCUGCAGACAGCGUGGAUGCAGCUUUUUAUUUCCCUUGCUACGAGCUGACCCAGAUUUCUGCUUUGACAGUCUUUUUGAGCACAGUGAAAGAGAGGCAUCGCUUCUGGAAAUGCAUGUCAAUGGUCUUGUGCAAUGAACAUCUCUCCCUCCCUCAGCCUUCCCCCAGUCUAAUUAAUAAGGUCAGCCCACUGAAGGCAGGCUUAUAAAUAGCUUUCCAAACACUAAUGGAAUUAGUUCUGGCCAGGACAACUUUUCCAGGGUGACACAGGUAUCGAAGAAGGGCUUGUUCCUUGGCAUAGACAGCCACUUAGAGCAGGAAAUGUUGAAAUGUAAACAUUUCCCAGCUCUUGCUGCCAGUGCUAAAGCUGAAAUGGGAUUACAGCAGUGCUGCUCACAUCGUAGAAAGACUUCCUGCAAGUGAAACAAGGGAUUUUAGAGGGAUGGGCCUUGUAUUAUAUUACAUUAGUCUGGAUAGUGAAAUGUCAAAUUCUGCUGAAGGUUUCUCGUUUGUCACUAUUUCUGAGGAAAGUGUAUUUUUUAUGUCCCACAAACCCACUAGAUUUUGUGAGGAUAAUAAACAGUUACCAUGGGGAAUAAAAUCAAAGUACUUCCAGUCGAUAGGAAUCUUUACUAUGACAGCAAUUAAUGGGAAAGGAAUAGCACAGCUAUAAACUCUCAAAAGAGAGUGAUGAUUGAAAAUUGACUAUUUAAAUCCUCAGUGAAUGGAGCCAUUGAACCUCUUAAAAAGCAAUGCCAAAUUAUUAACAUUUAAAAUCUGGCAUUAGACUGGAAUUUUAUAAUGAAAAUAAAACCUAAAUGCAUCAUAGAAAAUGUAAGCUCUGAUUGUUUAAAAAACUUGAACCAAAAUGUAAAGAGAAUGUAUCUGAUUCAGGAACUUCAAAUCAAUAAGCAUGAAGUUCCUGAAAAUAUGAGACAAACAUGAAAUUAUAAUAUGAUUAUCUAUGUAACUAAUGAAGUUUAAUUACAGUAGAAUAAUGGAGAAGCAUUUAUUUCACAGUCUCUUCUAUUUGUUCUAUCUUCACGGUCUGUUCUUCUCUUUGGCCUGUGUAUUGCAAUAGUCCUGCCAUGUAUUGCAUUUCCAGUAAACAAAAGGACAUUUCAAAGAUUUCAAAAUGCUUAUUGGAAAAAAUGGAUGAAGGUCAAAUUUUGUAUUAAUUCAUCAUUUCAAUCAAAUUCCUUGCUAUUGCAUGUUUUGAAUAUAACCUUCUUCUUAAAUGAAGGAGCUGACACGAGGGCAGGAGGUACUUCAUGUAACUCAGAAAAGAUCACUUCUUUAGAGGAGAGAAAAGCAGCACUUUUCAGUUUCUGAAAUGGCCUUGGACCAGCUGCACAAAUUCUGAGUCAUCAGAUGAAUCAAGUCUGUUAAGGACUGCAGAGAACUUUUGCUUCAAAAAAUGCAGAAGCAUCCUGCUUUCAGAUAUUGAUUCUGUAGUGCUUCCUUUGGGAAGCUUUAGUCAUAAAGGUGCCAGAUUUCAAGGCGUUUUUAGAAAUAAAAAAUGUGAGGGGUUUGGCUUUUAGUAAUUGUACCAUAAAAAAGAUGGUAGCCCAUAGCCCUUGGAACAUCUAUCAGUUUCUCUAGCAGAAAUCAGUAUGGAAUUUUGGCUGACAGGCAAAGAGUGAGUUAUUAAAAGUAAAAUUCACUCAUAAAGAGAGUUUUAUAUGAAAGGCCAAAUCAGGACAACCUGACUCAGGAGCUAAGCAGCUGCCAUUGCCUUCAGCUUCAGACUGGACAACAUCUGAAAAAUCACAGUUCAGUUUCUUAAAUCAAAGGGAUAAGGGUCAUGAGGAUCUGUGUUGUAGGAAGUCUACAAGAGAGAAUAAAGAAUUACUCUACUGUAUUAUAACAGUUUAUCCUCUCAGUGUCAUUAGAGCCUAAGAGAUGAGGUCUCUCACCCCAUCCUCCAGUUGUCUCAAUAUUGUGGCCUGCAAAGAAAAGCCCUAGCUGUACACCAUCCUUUUGGGAAAAAAAAGACCAUUUCCCCCUUUUCUCAGAUGUAGGAUUUUAGCACCCAAAAGUGAAGGCUUUUGAAGAUUUUUUUUUUAGCAAUGUGUUACCCAUGCAGAACUAAAUUAUUUCUCUUUGGACACAAUAUUUUAAUAUAUACCCAAAUUCUUCUCUUUUCAGAAGUAAAUGAAAAAAACUUCACCCUUGUACCAAAGCCAAAAUAAAGCAGUUCUAUGUUUGAAUCCCGGUCCACAGUGGACCAUCUUUAACUGAUGUUUAUAGCAUCAACACACAAAAUCUUUUCCCCUUCUUUCUUCUCCCCAUCACUGGGGUGAAGAAAGGUGAGGAAAAUGACCUGGGAAUGUGUCUGCCAUCCAGUCUUAAUGUGCCAGUCACUCUUAAUUCCUCUCUGACAUCACAAUCAAUGAAGGGAAAUAAGCUGUUACAUAACGGGGCUGACACAAAAUCCAUUUAAGUUAACGGAAAGACGCUCAUUGUUUCCUAUCAGCCCCGGGUCAGGCCAGAGUGAACAGAGUGGGUGGAAUUUAGCCUGUCAUUUUUCAUCUCAGAGGAAAUUAUUCCUACAUCCCUUUUGGACUGCUUAGAGAUUUUAAACAUAUUUAGCAGAAGAAAACAGAUUGAUUUCUUGUCAGUUGUUAAAUGGUUGAAAUUUUACUCUGGUUGGAUCGUCUCUCAGUUUAAAAUGAUACUUAGUUUUCUCAAUAGUUAAAAAAAAAAACAAAAAACCAAAAAAACCACAAAUAUAGAAGGAGAGAAAAAUCAAGGUGGGUGUAAGUCAGUGAAACUGAAGAGGUACCUGACUGCGCUGUGCAGGUCAUGAAGCAUCAUCUGCACAGGAUCUCAGCCUCGCUGGCUGCACAGGGCCUGUGAACUCACCCUGCCCUUCCUGCCAGCGAGCUGACAGCCUCUCAGUGUUAUUUAUUUUCGGUUUCCUACAUACAUUUGGGGAGGGAGAAAACAUCUGUAUUCCAAUGCACAGUGUUGUCUCAGGUCUUCUAGGUUUUGUAAACAGAUUUAAUAAAAUAUGAGUCAAUUUUUCUCUAUUGCUCCAAAUGUUUACAAAUAUCAUUCAGAAGCAAAAUGAACCUGUUCUUUAAUAUAGCCCAACAAACAUCAGAUGCACUGUCCCUACUGUGUCUCCCACUCUGAAUAAUGCUUGGGAACAGGGAGCAGAGUGCCCGGCAGGGACAAGAGACUCUGAGUGAUUGUCUAACUUGCAGUUCCCCUGGUAAGUUUAGAGACUGUUUCUGCCGUGUUUCUGCAGAAAUAACUUCUGUUAUUUAGGGACAAAAGUCAGAAUGUUCUGUUUCUUGGUUAUGGUGUGUUACAAAGAGUAAAGGGAGUUUCACCAUGUCCCUUCUGAACAGCAGGAAACUCUCGGGAUAUAUCAUUUAGUUGCUGAUGGCCAAGCCAAGUUGCUGAGAGGUCAGAGGACUUGCAAGAAAUAGAGACAUCAAGAAGUUUAAUUCCAGUGCAAAUUUAUCUACUCUGCUCCAAACAGUGAUUGCAAAAUAAGUGUUACUGCUGCUGGCAAGCUUUGUGAGGCCUUACGUCCACCAUCCACUUAGUUCUGUCUGUCCUUGAGUUCGAGUUAUAAAUUGUGUUAUCUUUGAUGGAAGGGAUGAGUUUUCAGACAGACUCUGACCUGACUUCUCUUUCUGCUGUGGUGGAUGAAAGUCUACAGCAUUCCAGUGAUAUUACUGAGGGAUUGGACUCACACAAAUGAGACUCUGACCCCUCACAUAAUUGCUGGAAGGACUAAAGGGGGAAAAACCUUUGAUAGUUGAGAAGUUUUUAGGAGCCAUUUGGAAAGCAAUUGGGUAAACAACAAUACAGAGGGGGCACAGGAGUCCCUCAACUUGUUUUUAAAAUCCCCCAGACAGCAGAAUCCUGUCCUCCAGAUUCCUGGGUCUUGAGGCUCAGUAGCAAUAUUUAUAAGGAGAGGCUGGUUGAAGAAAAUCAAGAAAUAAACAGACAAUGCCCCUAACGAAGAGCUGAAAUAGAGAUUUUUGUAGGCACAGAUUAUGUCUUUCCAGAAACUGUUCCUUCCCUGGGGCUGUCACAUCUGAGCUGCCUCUGGCUGCCCACAGAGGGGAGUGGGGAUGACCCUCGCCAGGGCCUAACCUUGCUCUGCUGCACGCGGCGUCACAGCCUCUUAUCUGCUGCUUGUGGGUGCUAAAUUGCAAGGCCACGUUUUUGGGAACAGAACCCGAGCCUUGGAGGAAGGCCAUGCUUUCCAAGUGUGUUUCCUCAGGCGCUCCCCCAGCGCUGGGGCCGCGGUGCUGGCAGGGGAUCAGAGCCCCGGAGUUCCUGCGCUGUGCUCCGGCUGCUCCUCCGGCUGCGGUCACAGCACUCCCCUCCUCUCUGGAUGGCUUCAGCAGGGUCAGUUUUAUAAACUGCAGGGCAAGGUACAGCCCUGGGGUGAGAGUGGGGCUGGGCAGGGCACAGGGCUGCUCGUGCCCCACACAAACCACCGUGGUGGCAUCUGCCCUCGGCCGACCCCGCUGGAGGCUGUGCCCUGUCCUGCUCCCACCGACUGCCCACGGCUCAUUUCAAACAGCCUCACAUCUGAUAGAAACAGGAACGGUGGCUUCUGAACCGCCUCCCAUUCUUUGGAACUUUACAGGAGUCUUGUAAUAGCAUUUUACUUAAAUUCUAGAAGAAGACAACCCCAAAACUAUUAGCAACCUGGCAGUAGAAAAACCUCUGUGGAGGUUUAGUCAAAAUGACAAAAGUCUCUAUCCAAAAUUUAUAAAGGCAUUUUCAGUUUUUCAGUGGAAGUCCAAAUUCCCAUGUUUUGUCAGUAGAGCUGUACUGGGUACAUCUGCACUAGCAUUGACCAUUUAAAAGCCCCUUAGUGCCCUUAGAGACAAAAAGGAGAAUCCUUCCUUUCAGGAAAGGUGCCCCUUAGCAGAGCAGAGGAGAUACUCCAGAGGAAUUAACCUCUUCCCUUUUGUUCUUGAGUUUUGAGGGAGGCAAAGGCUCAAUUUUUGGAUGGUGACAUUAAUCCCACACAAACUGAGCAAUAGGCUGUGCCCCUGCUUGCAACUCCUGCAACAUGGAAGGUUAAAAUAAAUGGUUGUUAAACUCCAGGCUGGAUAGUGCAUGACACAUUAGUGCUGCUUUUAGUCAUCAAUAUAUUCCUAUUUAAAGAUGACUGAGACUUUUAAGUCUGAUGAUUAUUCAUAUUAAAAGUGUUUCUUUUCAUUUGAGAUUUUAUGCUGUCAUGGAGACAUCUCCAUAAUUAAAAGUGUGCUUGACUCUUUCUGUCUCCAGUUAAAUAGACAUUAAUGGGAACCUACCAAAAACAACUGCCAGAAAUAUUCCUGCACUUUAAUUUAAAAAUAUUAAUAUCAAAUUACAGUGAUGAUAAAAGUCCAAUAUGAGAUCACUAAAGGGAAUGAAGGCUAAAUGGUUGUUCAAUUAUCCAAAGUAGUUUGUUCAAACUGCUCUUUUUCUCACAGUUUUUCUGUAGUCACAGCAGAGACCUAUUCUCCACUGCAUGAGGAGGGGUUUAAAAUUAAAUAUUUUUAAGCACAAAACCUCUCCACUUAUAAAAGAUUAGUACUGAAGUUGCAAAAUCAAAGACCUUAAUAUUAGGGAGCACCAAAAUUCAAGCCAAGUCUGUCUUAGCCUGUCUCUGUCAAAUAUUGCACACUAUUUAAUGCCAUAAUGAAACAGUAUUUUUCCUGUGGGAAAAAAUCGCACAACUGAAUGGACUAUGUUCACUUUGGGAGUAGCUACUCAAUAUUUCAUUUCUCAAUAUGUGGCAUAAGGUUUAAUCCAAGCUGGGAGGGAGAGAUCUUACACACUUCAGUCUUGAUAAUCAGAUCUGAUCCUUAGUCAUUUACAGAGCAGCCCUAAUCUAACCUGGGUACUGAAUCCACAUGCUAAAAUUUUCCUGUGAUUUUUUUUGUCUUUAGAAUUUUCUUUCCCUACAGUAAGAACAAAUCACCUGCUGCAGUGCCUGCAGGAGGGAACUGCCUCACUGAGUGAACAACCAUGGCUUGAUCCUGCUUUCCCAGCGAGCAGAUGGAUGCUUGGCAUUACCUGAGGCAUAGAUGGUAUUGUACCACUGACUGGAGAUCCCAAAGGUGCUCUUUGUACACUUCCCAUGCCAAAGCUCUUCCCUGUGCAGGAGCAUUUCCAUCCCUGUGCAGGAGGAUUUCCAUCCUUGCAGCAUUGCUCUGUCAUGACUUUGCCUCUGUUCCAGGGCUGAGCUACACCUUACACAACCUGCAGACCAAGCUGGAGGCCCAUAACGCAACCAAAAUUGGAUCAAUUCUUUUGUGACAAGUGAUUAAUGUGGCUGCCUCCAAAAGCAGUCCUGCCCUCAAGACUGAACAUGGCCUGGCAGGAGUGACCCAGCAGUUCUGACUGGCUUGGAGGGCAGAUCCUCAGCCUCUCUUGGGAGCUGUGACUCCAGUGCAGCCAGGGCUGCUCUCUGGACAUUUAUUCCAGCUGAUUAGCUGUACAGCUUUACGUCCCAAAUCCUGCUUUUUAGCCUCAAAUGGGAAAACACAAGCCAAGCAGCUCAGAGUCUCUGCUUUGGUCACAAUUUACCCACUGCAGCAAGGGCUUGCUGGAGGAGGGUUGGAGAACAUCAUGAAGAUGUGUCUGCUCCAGCUGGAAAUUUCUGCACAGUUCCCAGCUUGGAGGGGAAUGGGACAAGGAGGUGGCAAAGCUGCUCGUAUUUGUUGUCAAAAAUGGGAAUGCUAGCAGGGGCCACAGCCUGAGCUAAGCCUGUGGGAAUGUGGGCAGCCACUCUGCAUGCCUGCCCAGGGAGCUGUGCCAGCUCACCUCCACCCUGACCUCACACAGCCCCUGGUAUUCCAGCUCUGAGUCCAGCUCUGAGCAGCAGCUUUGUCCUCAGCGCAGGAGAAGGGUUUGUUUUGAUGGCAGAGAAAGGUUUGUUUUGAUGGCAGGAUGAUUAAUGUGCCUCAGCUCCAUAGCUGUAAAAUCCCUGGGGAGACAGGGCAUGUCUAAUUUGUACUGUGCCACAGCCAGGUGAGCACAGCACCAGGUCCUUACUCGGGCAUGACCAUGCUCAGGCUCAGUAUUUACCUGACUGCAAAAACUACAGCUGCUUUCCUCAUUUUAUAGUGGCAAAGCUGGUAUCCACUAACCAUUCCACCC